CGCCUCCGCGCUCUCCCCUCGCUCCCGCUCCAGGGCGCCCAGCGUCGCCAGCUCCGCCGCCAGCCGCGCGCACAGCGCCCUGAAGUCCGGACACGAGGUGCCCCGCGACGUCGCCCCCGAGAAGCCCUCAUACCUGUGGCGGGGCCGAGGCAGCGGGCGGGGAUUGGGAAGGCUCCCUCUGCUCUUGAAGCACCCUAGACCGAGUGUCGUUCUCCCAACUCCGCUCCGAACGCAGAAACUUGUUUCCUCCUUUCCAGCUUGGGGUUGGCAGGACGUCAGGGACUCAGGAAGGCCGGCUCACCCCCUCCCACCCACCCACCCCCAACACAGCUACGCCCUCCGCCUCCAUCCGUCACGGUGCACCAGUCGGGCUUUCACCCCUCUUUCUUCCGGAGGCCUUGGAGAGGGAGCAGGGGCAACAUGCUGUCGUGAUUAAGAGAUUGCACCCUGGGGGGUAGGACUCCACUCCACUCCCCAUCUCUGUGUCCCCGCCAAAUAGCUUCCUAUCUGGAUGACGGGGAUAAAACUUCACUUUUAAGGAUUGUGAGGAUGAGAGUCAUACAUGUGUGUGUUCCGUAGGCAUACAGGGGUACUCAAUAACUAACAUAUAUUGAGCAUUUUGUGUGUGCUACUAGCUUAAGUAUCUUAGAUCCGUUUUAGGGAGGAGAACCGAAAUUCAGACACGAUAAAUCAGAGUGAAUGUGGGGUGGUGCCCGGACUCAAAUUCAGAUCUGAUUUGCAAAAUCCAUGCUUUUAAUUGCUUAACCUGUUACUACUGUUAGUGUUGCUGCUGUUUUUGUUGCAGUUUGUUAAAACUAUAAUCCUCCAUGGUGCUGCCUACCCCAAGGCUGGGGUACUCAGGACCAUUAUUUGUUGACCUUAAUAAAAUGUUAAAAAUUGCUCGUCAAAA